rnacentral:lncRNA from 1 species
GACAACUGUCUAAGAGGGUUGAAACCACAGAGAAAAAUAAAUUUCGGGCUAACACUGACGUCAACCCAAAAGAGGAGUGCAAAGUUGUUAUAACAAGAGGAACCUAGCGUUGGCGCGGCGCGGAUUUGCGAUUAGAGGGAAACCGUCGAGCGGUAGACCCUUACCGCCGGGCGGUAGUGCGAUUUGUGGGAAACUGCCGGGCGCCACACUUGUUCCGCCGGGCGGUUGUCUGCUGGGCUUGGGCCUGUUUUCUGUUGCGCUCCUCACCUAUAAAUAGCCCUAUUGCGAGUUUAGAUGCAUUCUUUUGACAGAANCGGGCGGUUGUCUGCUGGGCUUGGGCCUGUUUUCUGUUGCGCUCCUCACCUAUAAAUAGCCCUAUUGCGAGUUUAGAUGCAUUCUUUUGACAGAAGGGGGCGGCCAAACCUAAUUUCACUCGCUGGAGAGGAUCUCUUGGAUGCUUAGGCUCCUUUUCAUCUUAUCUAGNGUUUGCUUUUCUAUUCUCCAUCCAUUUUUCAUCUAGAUUCACCAUGUCAAUGGUGAACUAAACCUUAUUGUUGUUGGGGGAAACAAUGUAAUCCUUUGAUACUCUCUUC